UACGUAGGGGGCAAGCGUUGUCCGGAAUCAUUGGGCGUAAAGAGCGUGUAGGCGGCCCGGUAAGUCUGUUGUGAAAGUCCAGGGCUCAACCCUGGAAUGCCGAUGGAUACUGCCGGGCUAGAGUUCGGAAGAGGCGAGUGGAAUUCCUGGUGUAGCGGUGAAAUGCGCAGAUAUCAGGAGGAACACCGGUGGCGAAGGCGGGUCUCUGGGCCGUAACUGACGCUGAGGAGCGAAAGCGUGGGGAGCGAACAGG
rnacentral:rRNA from 1 species